AGUGAACGCUGGCGGUAGGCCUAACACAUGCAAGUCGAACGGCAGCACAGUAAGAGCUUGCUCUUACGGGUGGCGAGUGGCGGACGGGUGAGGAAUACAUCGGAAUCUACUUUUUCGUGGGGGAUAACGUAGGGAAACUUACGCUAAUACCGCAUACGACCUACGGGUGAAAGCAGGGGAUCUUCGGACCUUGCGCGAUUGUAUGAGCCGAUGUCGGAUUAGCUAGUUGGCGGGGUAAAGGCCCACCAAGGCGACGAUCCGUAGCUGGUCUGAGAGGAUGAUCAGCCACACUGGAACUGAGACACGGUCCAGACUCCUACGGGAGGCAGCAGUGGGGAAUAUUGGACAAUGGGCGCAAGCCUGAUCCAGCCAUACCGCGUGGGUGAAGAAGGCCUUCGGGUUGUAAAGCCCUUUUGUUGGGAAAGAAAAGCAGCAGGUUAAUACCCCGCUGUUCUGACGGUGCCCAAAGAAUAAGCACCGGCUAACUUCGUG
rnacentral:rRNA from 1 species